UUCAUUUUGUGUGCACUAUACCAACAAAAUCACAUCCGCAAUUAGCUUUAAAAGGAUGCAAUUGCUCUCACAAUUGCUAGUUUUUAAGACACAGUGCCUAGCCAAUUCUUGCUGUACACAAUUAUAUUUUUGUUAAGUCCAACAGAGCAUAUUCUGUCAAACUUUUGCGGGCUUUUAAAUGUGAAAGCUGACAUAGCCGUUAAGAUAUGUUACGCUGAUGAGCUGGGUAAUUCACUUUAUUUUAUUCUUAACUGUGCAAGGAAAACAUAUGUACUAUAUGUGUCUGUGUUCAGUUUUCUAUUUAUUUGUGACAUUGUUUUUUUAAUUGUAUACCCGGCACUCGGUAUUCUUUUCGUGCAUGUGUACAGAACCAAAAGCACAUAUAAUUAUCGGUGACUAUACUCGUGGGAGUUAGAGUAACUGAUUAUCACAUACUCACAAAAUAAAUUUUAUUAUUGUCUGACUCACCAACAGUUUGGGCAGCUCCAAAUUGUACCAAAAACAAGAAAAACGUGGCUAACAAAGUUAGGCUCAAUAUUUUAUCUUUUGAUCGAAUGACAAACGUCUCAGAAAUAGAAAAAAGUCCAUCCUUACGUUCCUUCCAGUACAUAUUAUUGUUGCAGUAGGUUUGUGAUUUGGUGAAGUUAUCCUCGAAAUGUUUUAUCCUCCGUGUUAUACGUGGUUGCAGCAUUUUAAACUCCCUUAAAACAGAGCAGACAAGGAAAUAUCCACAGAUAAGCUUAACACAUACAGAUAUGCAUGUUUGCAACGGCACAAUGUUUACAGUUUUGUCCUUAUUUCGUCGUUUUAAACUCCUAUAUCAGCAAUAUAUUAUAUAAGCACAUACACAUACAAUCAUAUGUACGUACAUAUAUUUUUAAACAUUAUUUAACGAUAUUAAUUGAUCAUAAGUAUUGUGUUUAAAGACACACUGCAACAAUUUAUUGAGCGCUAGUUUCGUGUACAUAAAAAUGUGUACAUAUAUACUUGCAAUAUUUGUGUAGGUUAGUACACCGCUUACUCUUUUAAGGAACACGCACGACCAUUCAUGCAAACGAAAGCCAGGGAACUGAGUUGGCCAGCAUAACCACUUCGCUGGUUGUUCAAAGCCAACCCCGAAGAGCUUGAGAGAGUGGUACGAUCGCAUUUGCAAAGGUUGUUUGGCUAGUUUAGAUGGGCCAAGCGGUACAAAAUUAAUUCCCACAGCUUUUCAUAUGAAAGAGCUUGCUGCCCGUUAACUUGAACUUACUGGCAGUCUUACCCACAGUAUCAUCGCUGAUAGAAAACUGAACGGGUAACUUACUAAACUAAACUCAAUAGUCUUUAAUUCAUUAUCAAUCGAAGAUGCAAGUUUUGUAGCUCUGGAACAGUGUGUCUCUUUUGUACCUCUUGUACCAAGUUCAGGCAGGCUCUGGUUUUCACAUUCACUUUGCAUUAUACCUUUCAGCAAAAAGUCAUACUUUUCAUUUCAAGGCGCUCUGGAAUCCACAAAAGUCGAUUUAGUUACUCCUUGUACUGUUAAGCGUAAAAGUUACUGCUUUUAUACCCAUGCCAGUGCCAGCUGAUACAAAAAGGCCUCUGUUAUGUUUUACAAAGAUUUAUCAAUAACCAAAUCGGACUGCUUCACUAUUUGUUGUUGCGCUGACCAAUUUUAUCCGAUCCAAAUUUGAGGUUGAGUUAAAUAAAAAUUAUUUAUUGAAAGGGCACAAGCUCAAAUACGGUUUCAAAUUCAUGUCAACGCAUCAAUUAGUCAUCUAUUUUUGUCUUUUGAAAUUAAGAUUCGUUUUGUUGUAUAAUAAGACGUUUGCUUUUUUUGGAAGGCGAGGAAUUUUUUGCACAACACAACUUUUUGAAAACGGAAAAAUUUUGCGAUUUACGAAUGCGGGAGCACCUAACUUUCCGUUUUCAAAAGUAAAUCGGACGUUUUUUGUGAAUGUGAAAACCGGAGCCUGUCUGAUAGUAUUAUCCUGUAUUGGUAGUAUACUAACAAUAGAGCUGACUUGUAGCUUUACCGUUUCAUAUUUCGAUUUGAAUGCAGUGCUUUUGCCCACUCAUUACAAGCAACAUAGACAAAGAUACAUACAAAAUUCGCCUAGACCGUAGCUCUUGUCUUCUCCGCGAUGUUUUUUUAACACGGAGAAAUAUGGCUAGAUGGACUGGGAAACAGAAUACGAGGGCCAAAUUGUGUAUACAAAUAAACUAUGACAUAAAUUCAUAACGAUUUUAUUCAAUCAAUCGAAGCGUAUCUAAUCCAUGAAAUCAUCUAUAUAUAAUACUUAUUAUAAAACAAAUAGAAUUAUCUGGUAAUGUGCUUUUUCCGGCCGAAAUCAGAGGUAGUAUAUAUUACAAACUAUAUAUAUAUGCAUAUAUAGCAUCGCCGUACAUUUUCACAACUUCGAAUAUAAGAACAAACUCUGCAUGUAUGAAAAAGAUAUGACAAAAAAGUAGCUUAUAAUAAAUUCCCUACUACGAACACAACUAUAAUUAGUCACCUAUUAAUAUAUGUAUUCCUAUUUUAAUUUUUGUAUUCAAACACAAUUAUUUACAAAGAAGGAUGAUUAACUAUUUGGAUUUUGUACAAUUUCAUAUGACUUAAACGUUACUGUUCUACAGAAGGGGUAGAUGGAGGUUGUUUUAUAUUAUGAGCAUUAUUAUCUGAUGAAUCAAAAAAUCCUAGGAAGGUGUUGUGUUGGGUAUCAAGGCUUUGCUCAGCGCACAAGCUAACAUAUGUUGGCCCUCCUUCCCAAUCAGUGGACUCGUGGGGCUCGUAUACUUCAGUUAUAGGAGGCCAGUUAUCAUUUGUGGUAAUAUUAUACUCCAGGCGCAUGUGUUGUUGCUUCGAUGUAGUCCAGCUUUGGUCACGCCGCACUUGAUAUUUUUUGAAUACUAGAUAUUCUACAAGAAAAGACUCCACAAAUACAUGAAUAACAAAGGCUGCAGCUCCGUAAAUAAGCAUUACAUAUCGAAAACUCAUCACUGGAGGCACAACCAGUUGAAAAAAAUUAGCUACCCACUCGCUUGGGUACACAACCAAAUAGACUAUGAUGACACAGUUUACAAUAAAUGUUAAGCAUAGUGGCCAAUUGGACCACAAGGGUUUCCGAUAAGGAGCACCCUUCGAAUAUACAAAAGCGAGUAUAAUAUACUGAAAACUGGAUAUUGAAAACAUGGUGUAGUUCUCAUAGCAACCUAGGUGAUUCUCAUCUGAUGAUUUAAACGGCUGAAACCAAGGCUGUUGCUGCAGCUGAAACCAACCUAGAUCACCGUGGUAUUAAAAAAAAGGUACAUUUUAUUAUUAUUUGAAAACUAGAUUAAAAGUUUGUAUUACUCACCAACUACCUGGAACACCGUCACCACGACUAGAUGCAAUAAGAGCGACGCCAAUGGCGUGGGAGAUAUCAGCGAACUAAGCGGUACCUGCUUUACAAGGUGUCCAUCAAAAGCUUCAGUUUUACCAAAGAAAAAUGCAAAUAUUGAUAUCAAGCCUAGGUCAACAUAAAGAUACUGUUUGUCUGUUAGAUUCGAGUCGAUCGAGUACAGUAUCAUCACAGAUAUGAAUUGUACCAGCGAAUAUGCAGCCAUAUACUUAAAAAUGCCAAACGAUGUGACUAAAGCAGCUCGACCUUCCUUUAUAACAUUUGGAACAGCCGCAAUCGUGGGAUUGCGCGAAGUGAACGGUGAGGCAAUUGACGACUCGGUCUCACUUAACGAAAUACCAGCAUGUGCCACCUUCAGUGCACCGCAAUCAUUGGCACCAUCACCGCACAUGGCCACGCAGUAAUCCAAUUUUUGAAGUUCCAUAACCAGUGCUUGCUUUUGCUCGGGCGACAUACGGGCGUAAAUAGCUCCACGCGUUAAAAGAAUUCCUAGUUCCUCAGGAAAUUGUUCCUUUAUAAUUUGCCACGUUUUACCAUCCAUUGCAAAUAUAUAAUGGCGCUUCCAGUUAUCGUCUUGAGUGAAUUCCGUUCCGAGCUCAACGUCGACUUCAAUCGCCUCGUUGUGGGUCCAUGUGUCCACGGUUUUUACACUAGCCAAGCUAUCACUGUUGGGAAAAAUGCUUUCGGCAUAACUAGUGUUCGACCCAUUAGCUAACGAAUUUGUAGACAUCAACCGGUAAAGCGUUGGUGGACAAUUGCCACUUAAGUUACUAUCUUGUGUUACAGUGUUUCCAUUGCAAUUAGAUUUCCAUUGAGAUGACGUAGUGUUCCUGCUCCCCAAGUCCAGUGUGUACUGAAGUUUGUAUUGCCUAUGUCGAUAUUGUUCGGACGCGCAUUUUGUAUCACCAGGACUAGUUUGACUACUGUGAGCAUGUGUUUGUGUAACUGCAACCACAUCAACUGGAUCGGCAUGCACCGUAAUUACCGCUUGUGAAGGAGACACUAUGCCACAGUCCCGUGCAACACUCGUGGCAGUUAAAAUAUUGUCUCCAGUCACCAUUAUCGUCCUUAUCUUGGCUGCGUUUAGUGCAUGGAUUACUGUUGUAGUAUCGGGCUUGAGUCGGUUCUCUAAGAUAACAAAGCCAAGGAACUCCAGAUUAAGUUCAACUUCCUCGCGGGAAAAUCGCUGAACUUUUGUAUAAUUAAUCUUGGGUGCGAGAGAUUUGAAUGCCAAGGCUAUAAUUCGGUAUCCCUUUUUGGCGAAAGUCGACAACUGUUGAGAAUAGUUAUCUGGUAGGCUCUGAGGUCUGCACAGCUGUUGUAACAUUUCCGGAGAGCCUUUACAGUAUACAUUAAAUCCUUGUGCGCUGAGACAACGAGUGAUGACCGACAUUCUCUGAAGACUUGAGGUAAAUGGGAAUUCUCGUACAAUCCCAUGAUCAAAGCUUUUCUGGGUUUGCGAAAGGCCAACAUUAGCCAAUAAAUCAUCCACUGAUGACUGUCGUCGAAUCCCUGUUUUAGUAUGUGACGAAGUAUUAGAAGAGUCUUUUGGUUGGCGCAGAAUGGUUGGAUAAAUAAGCCCAUAUUUCUCAUUAUCCGGUAUAUCUGAAGAAUCCUCAAGUAUCCACCCCGUUGACUGGAACAUUUUAAGAUCCAGUGGGUCACCCAUCAUCGUACCAUUCAGUACAGUAAUCGAGUGACACGUUACCAUGCCAAAAAGAAAGUGAUCAUAUGGCAGACGAUUCACGUUCUUAAAGGGUAUUUGAAAUUGGUUAGUGGACGACUUAGGGACCACCCCCCACAUAUCCAGCCCAUCCUCCGUUAAGGUACCAGUCUGAAAUUAGUAAACGAAAAAUAAGAACAGGAAAUAAUUUUAUUAUUUAUGUGAGACAGCCCCUACGGAGUGUCAUUGGAAAUGUCACCCAUAUUCAGGACAUGAUUUAUAAUGUAUGGCACGGUAAUUGUAGAUAUAAGAUAUGAACAAGCAAAUGUUUUAUUAAAUGUCAAACCUUAUCAAAGCAACAGCAAUUAAUGCUUCCUGCCACGUUAAUAGACCGUGGAGAGAUACAAAAGAUGUCGUUAGCCUUUAAACGCUUCUGUGCAUAAAAGCGACCGACUGUCAUUGCAGCUGGGAGGGCGGGAGGUACAACAAUAGUAAUUAGGUCCAGAGAUUCAACUGCUAUUUUUACCGGAUCCGUUCCCCGCAUUAUCUGAAAGUAUUAUAUUGAAAUAAUACAAUUAUACAAGAAUAAUUAUAUACUUUAAAUAUGUUUAUACUAUCCGUACCUUUGUUAUUAGUGUGUAAAUAAAUCCAACACAAGCAAUUAAUGCCAAGAACUGAAUAAAUUUAUAUGAAUCUUGUUCAAACUUAUAGUCCACAGGUGGAGGAUAAAGAAUGGAUCGAAUUAGUUCUCCUUUUGCCGUUAUGUUACCGGUGUUAAUUACGAAUGCCAAUACUUUUUUAGAUCCAAUAUACCUCGUCUGAAUAACCUUUGUUCCACAAAAGAGUAUGUGUCUGGCAUGUUCUUUCUUGUCAAAAAUCAUAUCACGUUUCGGAGGCAACGGAGUUUUUGUUACCGGAACACUUUCGCCCGUAAGCAUCGAUUCAUCCAGAAUACAGUUGCCUGAUAAUAAUACUGCAUCACACUGCAUUGUACAUCCUGAUGAAGGUAUUUCAAUUAUAUCCCCCGGUACAAGAGUUUGGGUUGGAAACUCUUUGGAAACACCCUUUGAGUCCAAAACCAAAGCAUUCCCAGUAUUGUGCACUGUUUUUUGAAGUACAUCUUGAUUCUAGAAGACAGAAAUCAGAGAAAUUGAAUAGUUGUCGGAAUUAAAUAAGAAAAGUAGCAAGUCCUACAGAUAGCCUGUGCUAUGGAUAUCUAUCGACACGGAUUUUCUGUCUUGCCAUUAAGAUCUCGAAUAUAUGUUGGUACCAUAGUAUGAUAUAAAAUUAAAUUCGAAUAUAAAUAAAUAAAUUAUGUAUUUUUGUAUUUUUCGUUUCA